rnacentral:rRNA from 1 species
UACGUAGGCAGCGAGCGUUGUUCGGAAUUACUGGGCGUAAAGAGUGUGUAGGCGGUGUUCUAAGUCUGGUGUGAAAUCUCCCGGCUCAACUGGGAGGGUGCGCCGGAAACUAGAAUGCUUGAGGGUGGGAGAGGUAAGCGGAAUUCCUGGUGUAGCGGUGAAAUGCGUAGAUAUCGGGAAGAACACCUAUGGCGAAGGCAGCUCUCUGGGACGGUACUGACGCUGAGACGCGAAAGCGUGGGGAGCGAACAGG